UACGUAGGGUGCGAGCGUUUUCCGGAAUUACUGGGCGUAAAGGGCUCGUAGGCGGCCAACUAAGUCCGACGUGAAAUCCCCAGGCUUAACCUGGGAACUGCAUCGGAUACUGGAUGGCUUGAAUUCGGGAGAGGGAUGCAGAAUUCCAGGUGUAGCGGUGAAAUGCGUAGAUAUCUGGAGGAAUACCGGUGGCGAAGGCGGCAUCCUGGACCGACAUUGACGCUGAUGAGCGAAAGCUAGGGGAGCAAACGGG
rnacentral:rRNA from 1 species